CCCUCCGAUUGCUAAGCAACCGAGGGAGCCGCAAUAAAGAGGCGCGGGCCGUCCGGCCGUCCCGGCUAGCAACCAAAGCGUGGCUAGUGAGGGCGUCGCGUUGGGCAGAGCUCCGCGGCCUGCAAUGUAACCAUGUUAUCUGUGCCACGCCUCUCAGCGAGAGAAACGGUCUCCUCCUGGUCGUUACUCUGCGUUGGGAAGAGCUGCACCGGUUGAAUCUGCGCCUGUUUAAACGCAGGAUUAAACGAGGGAGGCUUUGCGGAUAUCUACUACCGUGGACUGGACAGGAUCACUUGGAUUAUACAUGAGAAGUUAAAAGUGUGAUGCUUCACAACACCUACAAUUGGAACAUGGAAUGUGAGAAGUAUGAAUCAAGAAUAGUUCUCUGAUGGCUGUGACCCAAUUCUGGAACUCCUUCCCAAGACAGAUCCACCCACCAUCUCCUACAGUAUUCUGCCUUUAUGCUUCAGAUAAAGCCU